rnacentral:rRNA from 1 species
AAAUUGAAGAGUUUGAUCAUGGCUCAGAUUGAACGCUGGCGGCAGGCCUAACACAUGCAAGUCGAACGGUAACAGGAAGCAGCUUGCUGCUUUGCUGACGAGUGGCGGACGGGUGAGUAAUGUCUGGGAAACUGCCUGAUGGAGGGGGAUAACUACUGGAAACGGUGGCUAAUACCGCAUAACGUCGCAAGACCAAAGAGGGGGACCUUCGGGCCUCUUGCCAUCAGAUGUGCCCAGAUGGGAUUAGCUAGUUGGUGAGGUAACGGCUCACCAAGGCGACGAUCCCUAG